GACGAACGCUGGCGGCGUGCCUAAUACAUGCCAGUAGAACGCUGAAGGAGGAGCUUGCUUCUCUGGAUGAGUUGCGAACGGGUGAGUAACGCGUAGGUAACCUGCCUGGUAGCGGGGGAUAACUAUUGGAAACGAUAGCUAAUACCGCAUAAGAGUAGAUGUCGCAUGACAUUUGCUUAAAAGGUGCAAUUGCCUCACUACCAGAUGGACCUGCGUUGUAUUAGCUAGUUGGUGAGGUAACGGCUCACCAAGGCAACGAUACAUAGCCGACCUGAGAGGGUGAUCGGCCACACUGGGACUGAGACACGGCCCAGACUCCUACGGGAGGCAGCAGUAGGGAAUCUUCGGCAAUGGACGGAAGGCUGACCGAGCAACGCCGCGUGAGUGAAGAAGGUUUUCGGAUCGUAAAGCUCUGUUGUAAGAGAAGAACGAGUGUGAGAGUGGAAAGUUCACACUGUGACGGUAUCUUACCAGAAAGGGACGGCUAACUACGUG
rnacentral:rRNA from 1 species